UACAGAGGUCUCAAGCGUUAUUCGGAUUCAUUGGGCGUAAACGGUGUGUAGGUGGCGCUGUAAGUCGGGUGUGAAAUCUCGGGGCUUAACUCCGAAACUGCAUUCGAUACUGCGGUGCUUGAGGACUGGAGAGGAGACUGGAAUUCAUGGUGUAGCAGUGAAAUGCGUAGAGAUCAUGAGGAAGACCAGUGGCGAAGGCGGGUCUCUGGACAGUUCCUGACACUGAGACACGAAGGCCAGGGGAGCAAACGGG
rnacentral:rRNA from 1 species